rnacentral:rRNA from 1 species
CCUACGGGAUGCAGCAGUGAGGACUAUUGGUCAAUGGGCGCGAGCCUGAACCCGCCAAGUAGCGUGAAGGAUGACUGCCCUACGGGUUGUAAACUUCUUUUAUAAAGGACUAAAGUGAGGCACGUGUGCCUUUUUUUAUGUACUUUAUCAAUCCGGAUCGGCUCUCUCAGUGCCAGCAGCCCCGGUAAUACGGAGGAUCCGAGCGUUAUACGGAUUUAUGUUGUGUAAAGUGAGCGUAAAUGGGUUGUUAAGUGAGUUGUGAAAGUUUGCGGCUAAACAGUAUAAUUGCAAUUGAUACUGGCAGUCUUGAGUACAGUAGAGGUAGGCGGAAUUCGUGGUGUAGCGGUGAAAUGCUUAGAUAUCACGAAGAACUCCGAUUGCGAAGGCAGCUUACUAAACUGCCACUGACACUGAUGCUCGAAAGUGUGGGUAUCAAACAGGAUUAGAUACCCGGGUAGUC